GGUGCGGUGGCGAAGAGGCUAACGCUGCGGACUGCAAAUCCGCCAUCCGUCGGUUCAAAUCCGACCCGCACCUCCA
rnacentral:tRNA from 2 species